rnacentral:rRNA from 1 species
UACGAAGGGGGCUAGCGUUGCUCGGAAUCACUGGGCGUAAAGCGCGCGUAGGCGGCUUUGUAAGUUAGAGGUGAAAGCCCGGAGCUCAACUCCGGAAUUGCCUUUAAGACUGCAUCGCUUGAAUCAUGGAGAGGUGAGUGGAAUUCCGAGUGUAGAGGUGAAAUUCGUAGAUAUUCGGAAGAACACCAGUGGCGAAGGCGACUCACUGGACAUGUAUUGACGCUGAGGUGCGAAAGCGUGGGGAGCAAACAGG